ACUGGAGUCUGNAACCCGACUCCACGAAGUUGGAUUCGCUAGUAAUCGCGCAUCAGCCAUGGCGCGGUGAAUACGUUCCCGGGCCUUGUACACACCGCCCGUCAAGCCAUGGGAGCCGGGGGCGCCUGAAGUCCGGGACCGCGAGGACCGGCCUAGGGCGAAACUGGUAACUGGGGCUAAGUCGUAACAAGGUAUC
rnacentral:rRNA from 1 species